GACUAGAGAAACUGGACCUUUUCAGCCUCCGCAAGAGAAGGUUGAGAGGCGACCUUGUGGCUGCCUAUAAGUUCAUCACGGGGGCACAGAAGGGAAUUGGUGAGUAUUUAUUCACCAAGGCGCCCCCCGGGGUUACAAGAAACAAUGGCCACAAGCUAGCAGAGAGCAGAUUUAGAUUGGACAUUAGGAAGAACUUCUUCACAGUUCGAGUGGCCAAGGUCUGGAACAGGCUCCCAAGGGAGGUGGUGCUCUCCCCUACCCUGGGGGUUUUCAAGAGGAGGUUAGAUGAGUAUCUAGCUGGGGUCAUCUAGACCCAGCACUCUUUCCUGCUUAUGCAGGGGGUCGGACUCGAUGAUCUAUUGAGGUCCCUUCCGACCCUAACAUCUAUGAAUCUAUGAAUCUAUGAAUCUAUGCUAUGGCUAUGGCAGCACCCUGUCCUCGCAGUGACGACCAAUGCCCUGGGCUCCUGCUGGCUGCCGUGAUCACCCUGCUGGCCCGCCACGCCAACUGUUGUCUGACCCAUGACUGUCUCCCCCUGUCCAGCUCCUCCGUGAUCAGCGGCCACCUGCCCACCUGCAGAGCACUGUCCCAGGGCCACAGCUACCGCUGUGCAGCUGUUGCUGCCAGGGAUGCCAACGAAUGGCUUCUGGACGCUAUUGCUAGGGAUGCUGUGACCCUCAUGGCUUUCAGGACUGGGGCAGCAGUUUGCUGCCAGCAGCCGAGGAGGCAAUAUCUGGCUGAGCUGCUGCUUGGAACAUCUUGGAGGAGACAAGUUUGGUCAGACAUGACCUGCCCACAAUGAAAUCAUGUUGGAUAUCCUUCAGCAUCAAGCCUUCUGCUAUUCUCCCACAAAUUGACCUAGAUACCAGGCACAGAACUUGAUUGGCAAACAUGGAGAAGCUUGAACCUCCUUUGAACAGGGAGGUAUGACUAAAGUUAAUAUGAAACUGUGGGGAUACUCUACUGCUGUGAAUACCACAUGUGAAUGUAGUGGAAACUUUCAGACUAUAGACAACUUCCUGGCCUGCCCACUUAUGGGAGAACCAUGCACCAAUGAGGACCUCAGCAAGGCUACAGAUUGAGCAACAGUAUGUGCCCAUUUUUGGAGCCUUUUUCUUCUUUCAUAUGACUAUUUAAUAUUUCAACAUUCAUUGAUUAAUAUCUAAAUUUGAUAACCAUUCGACUGCUUCAGGGGUAGCUGCAUGGAUUGAUUUUAGAUUGCCAUUACACGAUCUAAUUGGGCUGUGUGCUGCACUAUCGGAAAAAUCGUACCACAAUUGCAACCCGGACUUUAUUUGAUUCUCCAUUUAUGCAGUAGGUGUCCACAUUUUUCAUGAAGUGUCUGGAUGCAAUUCAGGGAGGACCAAAUCUUUCUCAGUAGGUUAAAUCCUGGCUGGGGAACUGUAGGGUGGGUGACUAUGUAUUUCUGCUGCAAGUUGGUAUUUGCCCAGAUUUCCCUCUAUUGUUCUUUGGUGCUCCUGUUAUCAUCAUAGAGCUUCUUGGUGUAUUUCCAGAAGGGUUUUCUAGAUUUGAGCCUAUCCAGUGGUGGUGUAGUGAUGUCUUCGUGGAUUGGGAGGUUUGGGUUACCGAUGGCCUUAUGGUAUUCUUUCACACAUGUGGCAUUGAGGCGGAGCUGUGGGGGAGUAUUGUUCACUAGGACUGGAAGCCAUGGCAAUGGCGUACUUUUUAGUGUUCCUGGUAUAAUCCACAUAGCUGAAUUUAACUGUGUAUCAACAAUCUUUGUGUGCAUGCUUUUGCUCCAGACUGGGGUGCAAUAUUCUGACAUGGUGACAGGACACAGCAAGAAGUCCUUUAUGAGAGACCCAACUGGACAGGCCCAUUUCUCCCUUUGGGAGGGUUCAGACAAAGAAGAGCAGGAUUUUCCUGCAGCAUCUAUGCGAAGAAUGCAGCAACCCACACGUGCUCUGCCUCCCCUGCCCCAGGCUUGUGGCUAAAGACUAGGUCUGGGACUCAGAGAAUCUAGGUCUGGUUCCCUGCUACAGAGCUCCUUCACGGGGUAUUGGCCCUUGCUUCCUCCUGUUCUGCAUCUGCUGGUUGUUGAGCCUUAGGGAGAGGCCCAUUUCUCUCUGUGGCUGUACAGUGCCAGCCUGGUGGGGAUCUGAUCUCAUGUGGUGCCCCCAGGUGCUGCUGAACUGCCAGCAACCAAAAUAAAGCAGACACAGGGCCUGCUCUUCAGAGACAGCCCUCCCAGGUACAGUGCUGGGAUCUGGGUGCUGCAUCUCUGUGAUUUCACCAGCAUGUCUCUUCUGUUGUCCUCAGACCCAGUCAGGCUGGCCAAGCUGGGAUGCUCCUGCCUUGUACCUGGCUAUUCAACCUACCUGAUGAUACCUAAGGCUGUUAUUUCCUGCUGCCAAAAAGAGCCAAGAAACCAUCUCCAAAGACUGUCCCUAGCACCAAUGCCUCCUACAUUCUUGAGAAAACACUAAGACAGGGAACCUUGGCCAAAGACCAUAGAAACACAACCAAGAAUGGAGGACCCUGUGAUGUGGAUGUGCACCAGUGUGUAUAUGUGGGGAGAAAGAACAGAUCCUUCCUUAGGUGUGGCUCUUCUGGGCUGCAGAGAGCUGGGCACAGAGCUCUAAAUUUGAAGCCCCAGAACUGAGGUACCUGCAGUGACUGACCAUUCAGGGAAUUUGAGCCAUGGUAUUUUCUCCUGGUCAGAUUCAAAGGGAUGUGUUUCUCAUCCUGACCCUUCCCACUCACUUUCCAUGCCCUCAUAUGUUCAUUCCUGAUGUCUGAGGUUUGGGGCUGAGUGCUGUAUUUAAAAACUGAGUGAAUAUUUCUGAGAAACAGGUUAUUUGCUGAGAAAUGCAGGAUCCAUCUGGCUGACUGACACCAUUCCCUCAUUUGGGCCAAAUGAUUUCAGUUGAAGAAAAAUGUUUGGAAAGUUUGGAAACUUUGUUUUGGCGUUUUCUAAAAGAACAAGUUCCACAUUUUGAUGUUGAAAUAACUAUUUCAUUUUUCUGUAAAGUAUAAAAUAAA